ensembl:snoRNA
AUCCUUUUGUAGUUCAUAAGCAUGACGAUUGGCUUUUCACUUUCAUGUGUGAGAUGUGCCUCACUCAAACCUUGUUGUAUUGUCAGCACGUUACCUAUCUGAUG